CAUAUGUAUGAUCCCCGGGAUGGCCUCAGCAUUCCCAGACCACCGGAUAUGGAAGUUUUACUGAGAUCAUUCCCUCGGGUCUCAGCAUUCCAAGACACUUCCUUAUGUCUUCAAACGAUCAGUGCGCAGGAGCAUUCGAGCGGCAGCUGCAAGGCAACACCUGUUCUCCUCCGCCCACCCUCUGAACUCUGGACCUUCCAGAGAAGAAAGGGCAAAAGCAGGGUAACAUGAAGAUAAAAGAGGAAGGAGGGAGGAUAGUGCAGACAGGAGAUCUUGCUGACAAGAGUUUGCAUCUGCCCAGAAAGAAAGAAGAAACAGGCUCCAAAGUUAGUGUUCUGCAACUUGCGAAUAAAGUGCAAAGCCCUUUCCUACAUCCUGGUGGCUGUGUGUGAUUCCUUUCACUCUCUACUUGAGCAGCAUUACUACAAUGUCUGGCUGUCUGCUUAGCCUGGCUGAGGAGGAGACACCCCCAACUUCCUCCACUCACAUGGUCUUGCAGCCAAAGACCUGAAGUGCAGGGAGUGGUCCAAUUAAAAAACUGGGCACGCAAGGAAAGCCUGGCAUUAAAGGACAACCUUGUUCUCUGUAAAAAGAAAAAGAAAGAAAAAGACAAAAAAAAUAAUAACAGGGUGUAAACAUUUUAUUUCAAGUUCUCUUGUGCUAAUUAAGGAAUAUAGACAGUUGUUCUUAAAAGGUUUUAGCAAGUACUCAUUUUGAGUGGAAUCUUCUUAAUGGACUUGUAUAAACAUGGAAGAAUGCUUUAAAGAGAAGACUCACUCCCCAGGCACAGCCCCGGUCAUGCUCUCUUCAGGCAUCUGCUAGCUUCCAAGGCAUGGUGGGCGAGACGAGCUGUGCCCAGAGGAGGCGCCUCUCUCAGAGGGCAUCUGUGAGAGAGCAGGCACCAGCAACCUCGGUCACCAAGAGUGUCAAUUUAAUUCUGUAACUUUCAAGUGUCCUAUUCAUUUCUGAAAACAUGUGUGCCAGCUUGGCGUCUAGCUCAGGGGACAUAAA